rnacentral:tRNA from 1 species
CCCCUCGCAGCUCGAUUGGAUCGAGCGCCCGACUGCUAAUCGGGAGGUUGCGGGAUCGAGGCCCGCCGAGGGGA